rnacentral:tRNA from 1 species
CAAGAUAGUUCAGUCGGUAGAAGCAUGAGACUCUUAAUUUCAGGGUCGUGGGUUCGAGCUCCACGUUGGGAGAGA